GAGUUGCGCGUCCCAGGGCAUGGGAGCUACAAUGUUCCGAAAGGACACUAUUGGAAACUCCUGGCUCUGGAAGCCCCACCUUCUCAAAGGUAACUCUCGCUAUAUCGAUGCUCUUCGACUUCGCAGCAACACAUUUGGUUGUCGAGCAGCACUUGCUCGCGCAACACCAAUGAGCGACAUAACAUGCCGACGAUGCCAUUCUGCCAAUGAGACCCUUGGACAUGUACUAGGCCAGUGUACAUUCGUAAAGCCGCAGAGAAUUCACAGACACAACGAAAUCGUGUCUCUAUGUCGAAGUGAAUUUAUCGAUAAACACCCUGCUGGGCGUUAUAUGAUUGAAUCAUCAUUUACAGUUGAUGGAAAACGGUUAAAGCCCGACCUCAUCCUAUGGGAUGCUGAGGAAUCAUAUAUCGUCGACGUUACAGUCAGACUUGAGCAGGGAAAUUCUCUCGGAAAAGCGAAUAUGGAGAAAAUCCUUAAAUAUGAGUGCCUCUACCCAGAGGUACUCAAUAUCACCGGAGCAACACACUGUCGGGUUCUCCCGAUAGUUGUGGGAUCCCGUGGUUCCCUACCCCCCAAAACCCUAUCAAACUUAUCCCUUCUCUCCAAACGCCCCAAACACACUGGCUUAACAUCAGUACUGGUUGCAUUAAGAACAUCAAUAGAAAUGAGCAAUAGGUUUUUAGACGGCUAAGUGCAAGACACCAAUAGUCACCAUGCAAAUAACAAUGAAUAUGAUUUUACCUAAAACGAUAUUUAAUUCUAACUGCCGGGCGGUGAACUUCCAAAGCGUACCCGUAUGUGUCGGAGCUACGGGUUUCUUUAAAUUUUUAUUCUUACACUAAACGCAGAGGAAACAAUCACGGGAGGCCCAUUGUGUUGUCUGUGUUGUCCACUUUUAUGUUAUGUGUUAUAGCCCUUCUGGCUUUUGUGAGGCAAACAAACAACAACAUCCCGUUUGUCAAAGGCAGAAGAUACCUCCACGCGGUGCCCCGUGGACGGUUUCCGAUGGCAUGUCAUAUUCCAACUCUGGGGUAUGCCGUGCGAUCGGACACUGACUAAAUUCUGCUGUUCCCUAAAGAAGUAGGUUGCGGAAAUAACCUGCGAGGGAUCCUCUACAUCAGUGCUGAAUUGGAUCAGUAGCGAUCCGCAUUGCUGUUACUGAACUCCAGUACUGGUGGUUUUUCCUUACCACAUCCGGUGGUGAUUUCGAUGGAGGGUGAUAGUGCAGAGGUGAAUCUUGUUAAUCCUGCGUCACUAUAGACGCUUGAUUAAAUCGUGGCAGUUAGGGUGCCGAUGUCUUGACACGGUACUCUUGUCACGAGGAAAUCAAGCGUCUUAAUCGCGACUGGUCAAUAUCAUACCAGGAAGUGUCCCACUUUGGGACAGUUUUAUAGCCAAAUGCCUCGUCAUCUAACUAGUGACGCGCAUGAAUGGAUUAACGAGAUUCCCACUGUCCCUAUCUACUAUAUAAUAUAUACUAUAUAAUAUUUAAAUUGAGAAAUAAACAAUUAAGAAUAAAUAAGAAUAAAUAAUGAAUGAAUAAUGUCCCUAUCUACUUUCUAGCGAAACCACUGCCAAGGAAACGGGCUUGGAAAAAUUAGCGGGGAAAGAAGACCCUGUUGAGCUUGACUCUAGUCUGGCAUUGUAAGGAGACAUGAAAGGUGUAGCAUAAGUGGGAGAUAGUAAUAUCGUCGGUGAAAUACCACUACUUUCAUCGUUUCUUUACUUACUCGAUUGGGCGGAAAGCGUGCGUCGAAAACUUGCGUUCCGACUGUCACGGUUUUCUAGAGCCAAGCGCAUAAGAGUGGUGUGAGCCAUUGCGCCGAUCGCCAACAAUACUCUAGCGUGAUCCGAUUCGAGGAAACUGCUAGGCGGGGAGUUUGACUGGGGCGGUACAUCUGUCAAAUAAUAACGCAGGUGUCCUAAGGCCAGCUCAGCGAGGACAGAAACCUCGCGUAGAGCAAAAGGGCAAAUGCUGGCUUGAUCCCGUUGUUCAGUGUGCACAGGGACUGCGAAAGCAUGGCCUAUCGAUCCUUUUGGCUUGAAGAGUUUUCAGCAAGAGGUGUCAGAAAAGUUACCACAGGGAUAACUGGCUUGUGGCAGCCAAGCGUUCAUAGCGACGUUGCUUUUUGAUCCUUCGAUGUCGGCUCUUCCUAUCAUUGCGAAGCAGAAUUCGCCAAGCGUUGGAUUGUUCACCCACAAAUAGGGAACGUGAGCUGGGUUUAGACCGUCGUGAGACAGGUUAGUUUUACCCUACUGAUGAAUCGUCGUUGCGAUAGUAAUCCUGCUCAGUACGAGAGGAACCGCAGGUUCGGACAUUUGGUUCACGCACUCGGUCGAGCGGCCGGUGGUGCGAAGCUACCAUCCGUGGGAUUAUGCCUGAACGCCUCUAAGGCCGUAUCCUUUCUAGACAAAGUAAGCAACGAUAUCUCUAGGAGUCUCGUGAGUCGAAAGGCUCAAUACAAUGUGAUUUAUUAGGUAUUCGGCACACGCCGUUUAUCGCACGAGCCAUUUUUAGCCGAAUGAGGCGCUG
rnacentral:rRNA from 1 species